rnacentral:rRNA from 1 species
GACGAACGCUGGCGGCGUGCCUAAUACAUGCAAGUUGAGCGCUGAAGGUUGGUACUUGUACCCACUGGAUGAGCAGCGAACGGGUGAGUAACGCGUGGGGAAUCUGCCUUUGAGCGGGGGACAACAUUUGGAAACGAAUGCUAAUACCGCAUAAAAACUUUAAACACAAGUUUUAAGUUUGAAAGAUGCAAUUGCAUCACUCAAAGAUGAUCCCGCGUUGUAUUAGCUAGUUGGUGAGGUAAAGGCUCACCAAGGCGAUGAUACAUAACCGACCUGAGAGGGUGAGCGGCCACAUUGGGACUGAGACACGGCCCAAACUCCUACGGGAGGCAGCAGUAGGGAAUCUUCGGCAAUGGAAGAAAGUCUGACCGAGCAACGCCGCGUGAGUGAAGAAGGGUGUCGGAUCGUAAAACUCGGUUGGUAGAGAAGAACGUUGGUGAGAGUGGAAAGCGCAUAAAGUGACGGUAACUACACAGAAAGGGACGGCUAACUACGUG